AGAGUUUGAUUAUGGCUCAGGAUGAACGCUGGCGGCGUGCUUAACACAUGCAAGUCGAACGCUGAAGCCCCAGCUUGCUGGGGUGGAUGAGUGGCGAACGGGUGAGUAACACGUGAGUAACCUUCCCUUGACUCUGGGAUAAGCCCGGGAAACUGGGUCUAAUACCGGAUACGACCUCCUGCCGCAUGGUGUGGGGGUGGAAAGAUUUAUCGGUUUUGGAUGGACUCGCGGCCUAUCAGCUUGUUGGUGAGGUAAUGGCUCACCAAGGCGACGACGGGUAGCCGGCCUGAGAGGGUGACCGGCCACACUGGGACUGAGACACGGCCCAGACUCCUACGGGAGGCAGCAGUGGGGAAUAUUGCACAAUGGGCGCAAGCCUGAUGCAGCGACGCCGCGUGAGGGAUGACGGCCUUCGGGUUGUAAACCUCUUUCAGUAGGGAAGAAGCGAAAGUGACGGUACCUGCAGAAGAAGCGCCGGCUAACUACGUGCCAGCAGCCGCGGUAAUACGUAGGGCGCGAGCGUUAUCCGGAAUUAUUGGGCGUAAAGAGCUCGUAGGCGGUUUGUCGCGUCUGCCGUGAAAGUCCGGGGCUUAACCCCGGAUCUGCGGUGGGUACGGGCAGACUAGAGUGCAGUAGGGGAGACUGGAAUUCCUGGUGUAGCGGUGAAAUGCGCAGAUAUCAGGAGGAACACCGAUGGCGAAGGCAGGUCUCUGGGCUGUUACUGACGCUGAGGAGCGAAAGCAUGGGGAGCGAACAGGAUUAGAUACCCUGGUAGUCCAUGCCGUAAACGUUGGGCACUAGGUGUGGGGGACAUUCCACGUUUUCCGCGCCGCAGCUAACGCAUUAAGUGCCCCGCCUGGGGAGUA
rnacentral:rRNA from 1 species